GCUAAGCAAUGACUCUCUUUACUCCAAGUCUGGCUGUGAGGCUUUAAAAACACAACAUUCUCAAGAGCAGCCUGAGCUGGGAGGACAGAGUCGUCAACUUUCCAGCGUCUCAUUUAAAGAAACAGGCUGGCCAGGAAUUUGGGGUCAGAUGCCCCGGCUGGACUUGGCAUCAGUGUGGUCACUCUGUCCGGCCCCAACCCAGAGCCCAGCCCAUGAGGAGUGCUCUGCCCAGGGGGGGCUGGCUGCUGGCAUUCUGAGGGUCCCCAUUGCCUCUGGAUGUACAGAAGUGGAAAGAUGUCAUGGGGAGGUGCUCAGGACACCCCCAAGCUGUGAUGAAGGGAGUGUCUGCUGGUACUUUUGCUCCCCCAAGUCCUGGGUGGACACUCAGGUCCCAGGGGAGGUGCUGGGAGUCUACCACAUCCUGAGGACAGUCAUCGCUCCAUGUAGCUCCUCUGGUGGCCAUGGCCUGGGGAGAGGUGGAUUGAAGACUUGCUCAGAGGCCUGAUUUUCAUCUGGAAGGGACAGCUCUUCCAGCCACAUUUCCCAUGGCCUUGCCAUCCUCUCUGCCUGGACUCCCAGCCUGGCAGCACGACCUACAUCUAAGCUGUGGGGUGCCUUGGGAGAGCCUGCCAUGGUCUGGAUUCCACAGCCUGCCCUCUGAGGACACAGGACACUCAUCUGUCAGGUGACAAGAAUACAGAUGGGGCAUAUUGCUGCGAGGAUCCAGGGCAAGGCCAGCCAGAGGAUGAUUCAUGUUGGAUACACAGAAGUUGUGUCACUGGGGAUGCAGGAAGGCCAAGAGAUGGAUCUAAGGUAUGAGAGAGGGUUGAAUCCACUGCAAAACCCAGGAGGCCUUUCAGCAGAUUCACCGUUUUCAUGAGUCUGCCCCGCACAUUGCACAGUAGAUGAAAACACGAAGUGCUGCAUAGAGAGAAGAAAACACCUGCCAGCUCCACCCACUCCUCCUCUUACACGGCCUGAAAUUCCACCACCACCACCUCUUGUUUGUGUGUAAACCUUGCCUUCCACAAGCUCCUUCAUAAGCAAUAAACACUCAUGACUCCAAAAAUAUAUAUUCAUCACUAUCCAACCCAUGAUUGUUGUUGUCCAGAUGGGGACACAGAAACUCAGAGAAUGUCAUUAACUUCCCCAAAGCCGUGCUAUUCAUGUCUAUAACUCAAGUCUUCUGACAGAUCCAAUGCUUCCCUGUAAACCACAAAGUCAUCCAUCAGACAUCAUCACCGAAGACUGUAUAUCAAAAGUAGGAGAGCAGAUAAAUCUAGGAGGUUCCACAACCCAUGUGUAGUUGUUAAGUGGGAGGAGAAGAAAGCCUUCUAACCUAUUUGUGCAUAAAAACCAAACUGCUUUGGAGUGCCAUCACCUUGCUAGGCCUUGGUAACCUGCCUGUGAAGGAGAGAUAACUCUCCUUCAUCCCAGGGACAUGGCACAACUGGACAAGCCCUGGGUAGCCAAAGGAUGAUAUGAGAGAGGCCAAUCAGAAAACAGGGAAGAUGA